GGGCAACAGAAGCGGUGGGAUUUUACCUGAUGGGGAUUUACCGGGGAGCAACGGCGCUCGGCCUUCAUUUAAACGCCGCCGCCGCCGCCAACUCGUGAGCGGCGCUCCUUGGGGGCCGUGGCAGUGCCGCAAUUCAGAGCGGAUCGGUCGCCGACGCGGCACCAGAGAACGACAGAAGCAACAGCCACGGCAACGGUCGCGAGCAAGCGAGGAGCGGAGGCGGCGGCCUCCUCGCAUCGCGGCGAAACCGCACGCGCAUUUUGCAGCCUCGAGGGAAGGAGGGAGGCGGUGGGGGGGGAAGGGGGACGCACGGAUGGACGGAGGACCGGCGGCGCAAGGUCGCAUGCAUGUGCGCAAACGACGAGGCGCGUCACGAGGGGCGGGUCAUCGAUUACGCGGACGGAGCGGUGCGACACAGCGAGCGAGCGAGCGAGCGAGCGAUGGCCGGGACGGAGUGAGAAUUCUCAAAUGCUUCCGCCGCACGCUCGCGGGCACAGCCACCCCGAGGAGCAACCGAUGCACCAAACCCGGCCUCUCCUGCGCGCAGAAGGCCGGCGAACCCGAAGGCACGAACGAAGACUGUAUAAGGGAUUAUAAUUUUGCCCGCCGAACAGACUGUGCUUUUCCCGAAGUGAUUAAGGAGCACCGAAUGGGAAUGAAAGAAAAGAUUCACUUCCUGCCGUCGCCGUCGUCGCGAAAGGAGAAGGGGGAGCGGCCUGUGACUCAACGUGCAGGGCUAUAUUACACAUGUGAAAUACGGUGUGGCUAAAGGAGGCCUACAUCGAGCCGAGUUCAACGGCAAGGACUUGGAGAGGCCUCCAUCCAGCAGUGGCUAGAUCAUGACCAAUGACGAUGGAAGUGAUGGAAGGGACUUCGGGAGAUUUACGGCGUCGACGUCCGCGACCAUGCCGACACAAGGUGACGCGACGCCGCUCGCAGCAAGAGAUACAAAUCAACAUGUCUCCAUUUCAUGACGUAACACUAAUAGCACAACUGGAAUGUGUUUCGGCAAAAACUAAUAAUAUUAAUGUCUUCUUCUUAUUCUGUUCCUUCAUCGAUUCAGUGCUUUGCCCAAGGGCAGCCCAUAGCUCAAGCUCCCUACAAUGCCACAUACUGGAAGGAACUUUCGGGUGGCUUCUCCUUGCCUCCAUCAGCAGAUGACACCAUCGGCACCCGUUGCAGCGUUGUCACGUACAGGACCGACAAGUCCCUUUGUGCAAUUUCUUUAAAUACGCCUCCAUUUAAAAUCAGGUGUGCGCUUCACGUAACUUGCUUCCUUUUUGACCCACGUUCCGACAGAAGGCACAGUUGGCAUGGCUGCUGUUGUGCCCAAUGAGGACAACCAUGUGCUCCCCUCCCCCCUGCCCCGCUUCUUCCCGUGGCCCCGAGCAAGGCAGAGAAUAUUCCAGCGACAGGAGAAUCCACGGAGCGGAGUCCCAAAGGACACCUGCGAUUUCGAGCGCCAAGCGACGGCAUCCAACGUGCCCCCAUCAUCGUGCCUCUCCUCCAGCGUGGAGCGAGAAAGGCUGUUAAGACAAGGCUCUCUCCCCCCUCUGCCUUACAGCUGCUACCCGCCUCGUUCACGGUGCCGCGACAGCAGCGACAGGAGUUUGACGGAAGUUAAGAAGCCAAAAACCGCGAGGUUACCCGUGCAAAAACAAUAAUUGGCGACCGACACUUGCAUCUAACAAAAGUCCCCCUUUUUUUCCCGUGCAAGUAGAAAAUGAACUAAAAGCAAUAAUGUAAAUAAAUACGAGAAAUUACAAUAAACAGAGCAUUCCACAAUGGCAUUUGUGUCCUCUGAAAGUCGCGGUGUUUUCGGGCGAAACUGACAACGAUGCAGGCAACUUAGGGAAGCGCUCGUGGGAAAAACUGUUUGUGACCUUGGCGGACUGACUGGUCCGCCGCCGGUGUCCGCUCCGUGCCUUGCGCACGAUGUCCCUGCGCCGUGCGUCCACACGGUGCGCGUGGCGGCAGCGGCGGCCGACUGCACACGCUGCGUGCUCGUGUUUGCGUGAGAUUAACAAACUUGCGUCUCGAAAAAGAAAUCUGCUGAAUCUCAGCAUGGGACGAUCCAUCACUGCCGGGUCCGCUGAUCAAUAUUCACACAGUGCACAAUCCGCAAACGGUAGCGCAAUACAGGAAAGGAUCGUGCACACUUUUCUGGGCUGGGGGUUGGGGGGUGGAUAGGAUAAAAAAAAUAGAACCAACACAAAACUAACCACUGGAAAUAAUAACUCCCGGACAGAAUUUAGCAGUUUAACGUACGGACGGAAUGCGGGGACCUUGACAAUGCAUUGAAGGCGAUUCCCGCAAGUGUGGUCCACCGUGGGAGCUGAUUGAUUCUAAACCUAGCCUCAGGCUGCCUCUGAAAAGUGAUUGCGCACCGCUCAGCCCGGGCUCUGUUAUUCAACACACUUUGGAUUACCAGACUGCCGCCGCCGCCGCUGCUGCUAAAUGGGACGUAAUUUCUAAACGACGCACACAGCGGGAGAUACGCGUUUGGGGAAAGGAGCAGGUGAU